rnacentral:piRNA from 1 species
UAGCAGGGAUAGCUGAGGUGUUGGG